rnacentral:rRNA from 1 species
AUCUCUUGGUUCUGGCAUCGAUGAAGAACGCAGCGAAAUGCGAGAAGUAAUGUGAAUUGCAGAAUUCAGUGAAUCAUCGAAUCUUUGAACGCACAUUGCGCCCCUCGGUAUUCCGGGGGGCAUGCCUGUUCGAGCGUCAUU